rnacentral:sRNA from 1 species
UAGGCAUAGGCAUAGGCAUAGGCAAAUGUUUAGGCUUAGGCUUAGGCAUAGG